CACAGUUUGAAAUAACAUUCAAAUUUUGAUUAUUUAAACGCACUGAUCCUGCGAUGUUUCCAUUUAAACGAACCGGUGCGUGGGCAGUUUUUGAGUGUUUUAUGAAAUCCCACUCAGGGCAGUUAUCCAAGCAUGUUGCCUUCGUCCGUUUUUUGACCAGAGACUCAUCUGUUUCGUUUUCCCGUUUCGGGUUCUUGUUCAAUCCUCUCCAGUCCUCACAAACGUUCCAAUCGUUAUUAACUAGAUUUUGUUCGAUCCUGCACAACUGGGUCGUUUCAUGCUCCGCAUCCUUAACGAUGUUCAAAGAAUCGGCAAUAGGGAUGAUAUUUUCCACUUUUAACUCGGGACUGGAUACUCGGGGCUGGAUGGGGGAGACUGAGAUGUUUUUUACCGAGAUAUUUGGAGUGCUGCAUACGUUAUGGGCAGUCACAUCAAACGAAAUAUUGUCAGGCUCCAGGGAUGUGUCAUAAGGAUCGACAACUUCAAUACUGUUUAGUCAACUUCAGUACUAUUAUGAUCUAUGCUAUAAAUGAUGAUGAUUUAAGUUAUGCUAAAAAAUGAUCUGCUGCGGGAAGUUCGCAGAUCAUUUUGUCAAUUGUCUUUUUUUAAGGUAAAAACGCCGGAACUAUUUCUAAAAAGUAUCAGGAACUGUAGAACUCAUUCGCAUGCGAUAAGAACUCACGUUUAUUUCAGCCCUCCUAUAAAAUGAUCUGCUGCGGGAAGUUGGCAGAGCAUUUUUUCAAUUGUCUUUUUUUAGGGUAAAAACGCCGGAACUAUUUCUAAAAAGUAUCAGGAACUGUAGAACUCAGCUGCAUGCGAUAAGAACUCACAUUUAUUUUUGAUCUGCUGGAC
rnacentral:misc_RNA from 1 species